CGGAAGUCCCGCUGUGCAGGGACCAGUGUUUGCUGCUGGACUGUCCUUGCUGACGGGAGACCAGCCCGUGGACUGGUGUGAACAGCCAGGAACGUGCUUCCCCGUUCAGGAGGGGUUGCCUCUGGUAGGAAGAGAAAGUCAGAAUAACCCGGUGUUUCUGGAAGAUCGCCCUCCCAAGGAAAUCCCCGCUCUUUGAAGUCAGGGUCCCUGAAACCAGCCGCCCCCCAAGACACCUCCCGGCGUGUCGAGGGUGCCAUCUUGUGGAAGGACGAGAAAGCGAGCACAGGGAAGCUGCCAGCAAGUGCUCUGGACAUUUUGCUGCCGGUGAUUUUAAUUAAGGAC
rnacentral:lncRNA from 1 species